ACUUGGAGUCCCAAAAGGAGAAAGUAAUAAUUUACUCCAGUUGACUGCCUUCUUUCAUGCACACUUCAAGGAUAAAUUGAAGGUAAUGAUGAAGAGUCCAACUCAGAAGAGUGAUAUUACAGUGCGGAGUGGAGG